ensembl:lncRNA
GGAUUGAUUACACAGUUAACUUGGUUAUUUUGCUAUUUAAGCUGCUUUUGUUUGGUAGUGUAAAGCAAAAUAAUUCUAACAUUUGGUUUUGGUUUAGGGAGCCAGCAGCAUACUGCUCGAUUUAUUCUAUUGAGGGGGAAGAACGAUGACCUGUUCACCGGGAUGAAAUACUCAGCAAGUGUGGCUUGGGGGACAAUUCUGGAGAAAAUAAAUGGGACAAUUUAAAAAAUAUAUAUAAAGAUUGCAAGUAUCCAGGGUCAGGCCAGGGGUUGGGGGGGAAACCCAGUGCUGCCACUUGGCCCUGGUUUGUCCCUAUGGAUAAGGUAUUGGGACAGAGGCAUUCCACCAACCCCCCUGUCCUAAUUGCCUCCAUCCCUGAGAACACACCAGGGCCAAGUACAGCAAGUACAGCAGUGGUGGAUCAGGAGGUGGAGGACAAGGAUCAGGAGGAGGAAAGACAGCGAGGGCCAAGGUCCAGAAAGAGGGACAGAGGAAGACAUGUUCCAGAGUCGCUCACUAUCUUCCAAAAAGGACUCAAGACUCACCUGUUCAGAGUCCACCUCGACUGCAUAACCACCCUCCCCCUUCUGGCAACCAUUGUACACUGUGUUGUAUUGUAUUGUAUUAUUGUACUUAACUGUGUAGCAACUGCAGUAGCUGCUAUCAUGGCUGUAACACAGGGAAUUGGUUAGCCUAGCGAUUGUGGUACUUGCACUUGGUUCUAUGAACAUCCUUUCUGUACCGACAGCGAUAUAUUGAUGCACUUCUUAUGACAAAUGUACUUAUUGUAAGUCGCUUUGGAUAAAAGCGUCUGCAAAAUGCCCUAAAUGUAAAUGUUAAAUGUAAAUGUUCCAGUUAAUAAAAGAGGACAUGAGGCUACAAAGGGAGGCAGAGGAGAGAAGAGCCCAGG